rnacentral:rRNA from 1 species
UGCGAAUGGCUCAUUAAAUCAGUUAUCGUUUAUUUGAUAGUACCUUACUACUUGGAUAACCGUGGUAAUUCUAGAGCUAAUACAUGCUAAAAACCCCGACUUCGGAAGGGGUGUAUUUAUUAGAUAAAAAACCAAUGCCCUUCGGGGCUCCUUGGUGAUUCAUAAUAACUUAACGAAUCGCAUGGCCUUGUGCCGGCGAUGGUUCAUUCAAAUUUCUGCCCUAUCAACUUUCGAUGGUAUGGUCUUGGCUUACCAUGGUUUCAACGGGUAACGGGGAAUUAGGGUUCUAUUCCGGAGAGGGAGCCUGAGAAACGGCUACCACAUCCAAGGAAGGCAGCAGGCGCGCAAAUUACCCAAUCCCGACACGGGGAGGUAGUGACAAUAAAUACUGAUACAGGGCUCUUUUGGGUCUUGUAAUUGGAAUGAGUACAAUUUAAAUCCCUUAACGAGGAACAAUUGGAGGGCAAGUCUGGUGCCAGCAGCCGCGGUAAUUCCAGCUCCAAUAGCGUAUAUUAAAGUUGUUGCAGUUAAAAAGCUCGUAGUUGAACCUUGGGCCUGGUUGGCCGGUCCGCCUCACCGCGUGCACUGGUCCGACCGGGUCUUUCCUUCUGAGGAGCCGCAUGCCCUUCACUGGGUGUGUCGGGGAAUCAGGACUUUUACUUUGAAAAAAUUAGAGUGUUCAAAGCAGCCUAUGCUCGAAUACAUUAGCAUGGAAUAAUAGAAUAGGACGUGUGGUUCUAUUUUGUUGGUUUCUAGGACCGCCGUAAUGAUUAAUAGGGAUAGUCGGGGGCAUCAGUAUUCAAUUGUCAGAGGUGAAUUCUUGAUUUAUUGAAGACUAACUACUGCGAAGCAUUUGCCA